GUCUUCUUCGUGGGCUGUGAUUGGUUUUUUUCUAACCUUUUUUUCCCUCCCCUCUCUCUUAACCAGCCUAGCUAUAACUGCGGCUGGCUUCUAUCAGAAGGAUCUACCUGCCUAUGUUGUGAACCACCGCUUGUAUAUUUCUUAUGAGAUGUUUGUUUCUGGUGGUUUAAGAGACGCCCGUGGAUAUAGCGUUCGUAGACGUGGACUUCAGUAAUGCUCUCCAUAGUCAUAGUGGGGAGGCCAUGUUGGGGCGUUCAGGAUCUAGAGAGGCAGGGUUAUGUGAAGGACAAAAUGGUGGCGGCAGUGCGAGGCCAUGCCCUAUGAUGAGGACCUUUUCACAGACCUGUACUGAUCUCUGUGAGGAUAAGUAACUCUGAGGAGGCUGGCCCCGGACCUACGGCCUUCUGACCCUGCAGAGGUUGUGAUGUAAAAGCGGUGUAGGAAUAACCCGAUGCUGUUUGCUCUUACAGGUUUAAGGUACUCUUUUACAUGCGAAAGAAUGGGAGCACGCUCUCAUUUCAAAAUAUGGCUAAUGUCAAAGCCGUUUGCACUUUGGAGCCAGGCCUGUUCAAUUUUACAAAUAGCAAGUUUUUCUUACAAUCAGGGUACGGUGGCAACGUGACUUGAAACCCCCAGAAUCAUACCCGGGAUGAAUGCAGGUUUUCUUGGUGGUGAUUAUCUUAAAGGAGGAGGUUGUUCCUGCACGCCAUCCAUCUCCAGCGUUCGAAGGUUAGAUUGUUGGGGUGGUGUGUCUUGUUCACCAGAUUGGCUGUUUCUGUGAUGAAUCAACUAGCUCACUAUGACUGCUAAUGAAAACACUGGAACACCUGAGAAACUGAAGGGUGGCGUGUUGGGGCAAGGGUGCUUACAUAUCAAGCCUUUUCAAUAGUUUGUUUUUCUCCAGGUUCUGUUAGCAGUGCUGUUACUUGGUGCUUCAGAGGUAAGUAAUUGCAGCCAGCGUGCAGUGGUGUGCACACUGCUGGACUCAGGUCCUAAGUACUUCAUAUAUAUGAUGACUUUCAUAGAAUCUCGUUCGGCUGAUGAUUGCUGUUGAGACUUGGAAAUCUGAUUUUUCUGAGGAUGAUGGGUUGGAUGGGAACAAUCUGCCAGGAUUUUUAACAUUGCCCAUCUUGUGUGUUUCAGAUAUGGUGACUGGCCGAGCGCAAAGGAGCCAUGCCAGGAAAACUAAGAGCACAUCUUCAUAAAGUCCAGGC
rnacentral:lncRNA from 1 species